rnacentral:rRNA from 1 species
UACAGAGGGGGCAAGCGUUGUUCGGAAUUACUGGGCGUAAAGGGCGCGUAGGCGGCCUUCUAAGUCGAACGUGAAAUCCCUGGGCUCAACCCAGGAACUGCGUCCGAUACUGGAAGGCUUGAAUCCGGGAGAGGGAUGCGGAAUUCCAGGUGUAGCGGUGAAAUGCGUAGAUAUCCGGAGGAACACCGGUGGCGAAGGCGGCUUCCUGGACCGAUACUGACGCUGAGGCGCGAAAGCUAGGGGAGCAAACGGG